rnacentral:lncRNA from 1 species
GUUUCCUUGUAUCAAUUUGUGGAUUUAAUGUCAUCUGAAGAGGCAAAAACAAGGUUCUGUCUACCAUUUCACCACGUCAACAGCAAACUGAGCACUGAGGCAGGUACGUGAAUAUUAAAUUCACAGUAGGUAAAAAAUGAAGUUAUACUGAGCUUUAAUGUGUCUAUUUGCACAAGUUGAUUAGGGUACAUAGAGUUGUAGACCUAGCUAUUGCCUUCUUGCGUCUUAA